CAGACCGCGAACACGUGUUAAUAAGCUCCUCCCGCCUAGCGCUUGCGCUUGGUGGGCUAACGAACCCCGGCGCGGCAAGCGCCAAGGAAUACUUAAAGGAAUCGUCGUGCCCCGGGCGCCCGUUCGCGGUGCGUCUCGGGUGCGCUCGUACCUCGAAUGUCUAAACGACUCUCGGCAACGGAUAUCUCGGCUCUCGCAUCCAUGAAAAACGUAACGAAAUGCGAUACUUGGUGUGAAUUGCAAAAUCCCGUGAACCAUCCAGUCUUUGAACGCAAGUUGCGCCCGAAGCCUUCUGGCCGAAGGCACGCCUGCCUGGGCGUCACGCAUCGCGUCCCCCCCUCCAAAAUCCCUAGGGAUCUUGGAGCGGGAGCGGAAAUUGGUCUCCCGUGCGCCUCCCGGCUCGUGGCCGGCCUAAAUUAAAUCCUGCAUCGACGGAUGCCUCGACCAGUGGUGGUUGAAAAACUCUCUUGCUGUCCAGCUGCACGUCCCUUGCUAGGCAUCGUCCAAACCCACCGGCGCUUCCCGUGCCUACCACCGCGACCCCCGGUCAGGCGGGACUACCCGCUGAAUUUAAGCAUAU
rnacentral:rRNA from 1 species